CUUUUAAUUCAUUUUCCUGCUCCCUGAACUUAAUUUGGCCGGUGAGUUAAUAUAUAGAUGCUGAAAUGACGACUGAGAAGCUUCAAGGGGAUAUGAAGUGAGUCGUUGAAAAGAUCUUGCACAAGGGCUCAGGCCUCCUUGAGAAAGCGAAAGAAGAAUUCGGAAGUCACUUCGACGACUGCUUCCAUUCUUCAAAGGAACUAGGUCUCUUCAUCUAAUGUAAUGGAUGAUAAGUUGCCACUGAAUCUGAACCUGAGUAAUUUGUCUGGUUAAAAUUUGCUUCUGACUGGGCAGCACUACUGAAAUAUUGCAAAACGUGAUAGCAAGAUCAAGGGACACUACAUUGAGCGAGCUAGCUA